rnacentral:tRNA from 1 species
GCAGCUUAGUGGAAGAGCAUCUGCUUUGAAUGCAGCAGGUCCCAGGUUCAAUCCCUGGCAUCUCCA